CCUACGGGCGGCAGCAGUGGGGGAUAUUGCACAAUGGGGGGAACCCUGAUGCAGCGACGCCGCGUGGGUGAAGAAGCGCCUCGGCGCGUAAAGCCCUGUCAGCAGGGAAGAAAAUGACGGUACCUGAAGAAGAAGCCCCGGCUAACUACGUGCCAGCAGCCGCGGUAAUACGUAGGGGGCAAGCGUGAUCCGGAUUUACUGGGUGGAAAGGGGGCGCAGACGGCGAUGCAAGCCAGGAGUGAAAGCCCGGGGCCCAACCCCGGGACUGCUCGUGGAACUGCGUGGCUGGAGUGCAGGAGGGGCAGGCGGAAUUCCUGGUGUAGCGGUGAAAUGCGUAGAUAUCAGGAGGAACACCGGUGGCGAAGGCGGCCUGCUGGACUGCAACUGACGUUGAGGCCCGAAAGCGUGGGGAGCAAACAGGAUUAGAUACCCUAGUAGUC
rnacentral:rRNA from 1 species